GCACAAGCGGUGGAUCAUGUUGUUUAAUUCGAUGAUACGCGAAGAACCUUACCAGGUCUUGACAUCCCCUGCAAAGCUAUGGAGACAUAGUGGAGGUUAUCAGGGAGACAGGUGGUGCAUGGUUGUCGUCAGCUCGUGUCGUGAGAUGUUGGGUUAAGUCCCGCAACGAGCGCAACCCUUGUCUUUAGUUGCCAUCAUUAAGUUGGGCACUCUAAAGAGACUGCCGGUGUCAAACCGGAGGAAGGUGGGGAUGACGUCAAGUCCUCAUGGCCUUUAUGACCAGGGCUACACACGUACUACAAUGGCAGGUACAAAGGGCAACCACUUAGCGAUAAGGAGCGAAUCCCGUAAAACCUGUCUCAGUCCGGAUUGGAGUCUGCAACUCGACUCCAUGAAGUUGGAAUCGCUAGUAAUCGCAGAUCAGCACGCCGCGGUGAAUACGUUCCCGGGCCUU
rnacentral:rRNA from 1 species